GAUGAACGCUGGCGGCGUGCCUAAUACAUGCAAGUCGAGCGAAUGGAUUAAGAGCUUGCUCUUAUGAAGUUAGCGGCGGACGGGUGAGUAACACGUGGGUAACCUGCCCAUAAGACUGGGAUAACUCCGGGAAACCGGGGCUAAUACCGGAUAACAUUUUGAACCGCAUGGUUCGAAAUUGAAAGGCGGCUUCGGCUGUCACUUAUGGAUGGACCCGCGUCGCAUUAGCUAGUUGGUGAGGUAACGGCUCACCAAGGCAACGAUGCGUAGCCGACCUGAGAGGGUGAUCGGCCACACUGGGACUGAGACACGGCCCAGACUCCUACGGGAGGCAGCAGUAGGGAAUCUUCCGCAAUGGACGAAAGUCUGACGGAGCAACGCCGCGUGAGUGAUGAAGGCUUUCGGGUCGUAAAACUCUGUUGUUAGGGAAGAACAAGUGCUAGUUGAACAAGCUGGCACCUUGACGGUACCUAACCAGAAAGCCACGGCUAACCACGUGCCAGCAGCCGCGGUAA
rnacentral:rRNA from 1 species